rnacentral:rRNA from 1 species
AUUGAACGCUGGCGGCAGGCCUAACACAUGCAAGUCGAACGGUAACAGGAAGAAGCUUGCUUCUUUGCUGACGAGUGGCGGACGGGUGAGUAAUGUCUGGGAAACUGCCUGAUGGAGGGGGAUAACUACUGGAAACGGUAGCUAAUACCGCAUAACGUCGCAAGACCAAAGAGGGGGACCUUCGGGCCUCUUGCCAUCUGAUGUGCCCAGAUGGGAUUAGCUAGUAGGUGGGGUAACGGCUCACCUAGGCGACGAUCCCUAGCUGGUCUGAGAGGAUGACCAGCCACACUGGAACUGAGACACGGUCCAGACUCCUACGGGAGGCAGCAGUGGGGAAUAUUGCACAAUGGGCGCAAGCCUGAUGCAGCCAUGCCGCGUGUAUGAAGAAGGCCUUCGGGUUGUAAAGUACUUUCAGCGGGGAGGAAGGGAGUAAAGUUAAUACCUUGGCUCAUUGACGUUACCCGCAGAAGAAGCACCGGCUAACUCCGUG